rnacentral:rRNA from 1 species
UGAGGGAAAGGCGAAAAGAACCCCGGCGAGGGGAGUGAAAAAGAACCUGAAACCGUGUACGUACAAGCAGUGGGAGCCCCACCACCAAAGCAUUCUCUGGUGUUGAAGGCCCUGCAAAGCAGCAUCGCGGUGGCGGAGCGUCGUUUGCGACGCCCAACACACAAAACAAGCGGUGAGUGCUUUGGGGUGGGGUGACUGCGUACCUUUUGUAUAAUGGGUCAGCGACUUAUAUUCUGUAGCAAGGUUAACCGUAUAGGGGAGCCGUAGGGAAACCGAGUCUUAACCGGGCGUUAAGUUGCAGGGUAUAGACCCGAAACCCGGUGAUCUAGCCAUGGGCAGGUUGAAGGUUGGGUAACACUAACUGGAGGACCGAACCGACUAAUGUUGAAAAAUUAGCGGAUGACCUGUGGCUGGGGGUGAAAGGCCAAUCAAACCGGGAGAUAGCUGGUUCUCCCCGAAAGCUAUUUAGGUAGCGCCUCGUGAAUUCAUCUCCGGGGGUAGAGCACUGUUUCGGCUAGGGGGCCAUCCCGGCUUACCAACCCGAUGCAAACUGCGAAUACCGGAGAAUGUUAUCACGGGAGACACACGGCGGGUGCUAACGUCCGUCGUGAAGAGGGAAACAACCCAGACCGCCAGCUAAGGUCCCAAAGUCAUGGUUAAGUGGGAAACGAUGUGGGAAGGCCCAGACAGCCAGGAUGUUGGCUUAGAAGCAGCCAUCAUUUAAAGAAAGCGUAAUAGCUCACUGGUCGAGUCGGCCUGCGCGGAAGAUGUAACGGGGCUAAAC